rnacentral:pre_miRNA from 10 species
GUAAUCUUGCAUUUACCAGAAAAUCCUGCAACCCUAUCAGUAUUGCCCCUGCUGUCCACUGAGUUCAGAGUAGUGCAAUAUUGCUUAUAGGGUUUCAGUGUUGGUCUUA